GUCCCUGUUGUGCAAUGGGCAGCGCAUUUUGGACUUCUAAUCCGAAGAUCGUGGGUUAAAAUCCCACCUGGGAUG